GACGAACGCUGGCGGCGUGCUUAAUACAUGCAAGUCGAACGGAAAGGCCCUGCUUGUAGGGUGCUCGAGUGGCGAACGGGCGAGUAACACGCGGGUGAUCUGCCCCUCACUUUGGGAUAAGCCUGGGAAACUGGGCCUAAUACUGGCUAGGACCAUGCUGUAGGCGGUGUGGUGGAAAGAUUAGUUUCGGCAAGGGUUGAGCUCGGGGCCUAUCAGCUUGUCGGUGGGGUAAUGGUCUACCAAGGCGUCGGCGGGUGGCCGGCCAGAGAGGGAGGGCGGCCACGUUGAGACUGAGAUGCGGGCCAGACUCCGGCAAGAUGCAGCAGUGGGGGAAAUUGCGCAGUAGGCGCGAGCCUGAUGCAGCGACGCCGCGUGGAUCGUAACGGCCUUCUGGUUGGGAACACCAUACGUCCAUGACGAAGCGCAUAUGGUGACGGUAGUUGAAGAAAAAGCACCGGCUAACUACGUG
rnacentral:rRNA from 1 species